UCUCCUGCAGCCUGCAUGAGACUCUGUCUCAUUAAGUUUCACUCCUGGAAGCCAAAACCCGACCUGCCGUCAUCCUCCGAACAAAAUGUUUCAGUCAUUAAUUCAAUGCCCACGUCACGACCGUUCUAAGAGAAAAGAUGCUCUUUUUUUAUAGCCGUGGGGUUGCCGGAGCCUGUUGGGUUAAGGUGGGAUACACCCUGGACAGGUUACCAGUCUGUUGCAGGGCCUAUGGGGCUUGAAUGAUUGGUUCGCCAGCUAACCGGCAGACAGAGAGUUGCUGUGACAUGGCGAGACAUCAAGCCUUCAAACUGGGUCACAGAAGCGUGGACGUUGAGGUGGACAGCAGUCAUCAUUCGACGUUCCUACAGAAGGAGGGAAGCUAACCGUACCGGGAGAGUCUCUGAAUGAUCUCAUGAACCCGGACAUGGAGAUUACUGAGUUUCUGAAGACAUUUUUAGAAAAACUAAUUUUAAUCUCUGAACAUCCUCCACAUCUUCAAUCCAUUAUAAUGAGAUAUAUACACAGACACCGCUCCAUAUAGCAAUGAGGCAAAAAAAGUUUGAUGGUAGCUCCUCCCACACGAGUUAGGGUCACCAAGCUUAUAAAGACCUUUUUGGACAGGCGUCCAGCAGAGAAUUUGAUGCAGGAAUUGAUUUUGGUGUGAUUAUCAGGAAGACAUCCAACUCCACAAAUGUUUGAAUCUAAACCGCUUUGGAUAAAAGGAUCGACAGAUGAAGUCCUGUUAGCCUCACAGAGCCACGACCUAAACUGGGUUUUCAGCCAAUCGGAACCAGUUCCUCCAGGCCUCCUUGAAGAGGGAGAGAUGCUCUUUUCGCUUUCUUGUUUUGUUCAUAAAAAAGGAAACAAUUGAAAAUGACUUCAACAUUCUUGCCUUCUGGGCUUUAGACAUCCUCUGGUUCCAGUAAAAAUGUACAAAAAAACACAUUAUACUCUCCAUUUACUGAUGCUUUUGUUUUGAACUUGGUACAUCUUCACUUCUGACACCAGUCUGUUAACCCUACGUGCCUCAUGUCAUUAUAUCCUAACAUACCAUUAUAUCCACUUAAUUACCAUUACGUAUUUGGAAUUUAGGUCAGACAUGAAGACGUUAAGGAGUUACAGUACAUAAUACGAUUUUUUUUUCCUAAAUGCUGAAAAUGCAGCGCUUUAUCACAUGGUAAACGAUGAAGUCAGAGUCUCCUAUGACCUCACCUUGUCACUCUACGUCUAAAUUUACCGACGGGGACUUUUCUGCAGCAACUUUUUAUAUGACAAGCUGGUGCCGUUAUUAUCGCUGGAAGGCCAACAGAGCCCAGAGGAAAUCUCCUUUAGGCUUUAGCUGCAACUCUGACCGUCUCUGAAGGCGUAAAAUUAAAAUGAAUGGAUACAUCUUCACUUCAUUAUUAUGCAAGAAGCAGGAGAGACGAGGAAGUCAUUUAUGCCCCACUCUUGGUGAUUGACGGCUGCUUUCAGGUGCUUUGAUAUAUUGAUUGAACGUUAUGUGAGCAUUUUGGAAUGUAGGAAUUCAAUAAAGAGUUAUUAAGUUGCUGCCACUAAUGAGUACAACAACCUGUAGGGAAACAGGAUUAGCUAGCUUUGUUCUUGGUUAUUAAUAAGUGACUGAGUGCAAAGCAAGCAGCUCAACCACGAAAUGAUGUUCAGGGGAAAAAAGAGACGGGCAGAUGUUGUUUGUCGGUAAUGACAGGAAGGGUGACUCACUUUCCCUCCAGGUGAAAUCAUCCACAAACUGUCCUGAAUACCAAAGCGGAGCCUCCUUAUUUCCUUCUCAUGAGGGAGCAGCAGUGAAAAUAUUCAGGCCGUUUUCUGUCCUCAUUUGCAGUUUGGAGCUGUGAGACUCCUCACAUGAGGAAACCAUCACAUGAGCAUCGACUCACCCCUUCAGCUCCUCUCUCGUCUUUUGUUUGACCAGCUCUUUUCUUCAUUUUAGCUCUAAAAACUGGAUUUACACGUUAAACAUAAAAGUUUGGAGUCUGCUGGAGCUCCAGCUCUACUGUAGUGUUUGAUACUUUCAUUAAUUGCCAUAAUAAAAACAGUGAAAAAUGUCCUCAAAACAAAUUAAAGAAUAUUGAAUAUAAUGUGUUUUUUUCCUUGUUAUAAAUCAAAAAAUCCACAAAUAGAAUUUUUUUCUUGGUAAAUUUCUUAAAAUAAGUUAUGAUGUCCUCCUCUUUUAACACAUAAUUUAAUCUUUUAAUUGACUUUAAACCCUCAUCUUUAAGAAUCUUGGUCUGAUAAUUGAAAUUAUGAUGUCUUAAAGAAACGAUACAUAUAUCAUUAAAGUAGGUAUAUUUAUAGACACAAACUGAAAACUAUUUGACACUAGCAAAGAUUUCAAACUUUACUGGAUAUUUUAUCAGGUUUUAUCAUGUUGUUUUAACUUAUCCUCCAGGGGUUUCUCAUAAUCAACACUGUUGAGAAUGUUUACUCAGAAUAAGAGCUAAGAUCUAGAAAUAAGGACAUUCAUUAAAAUGAGUUAAUAUCAAAACUUUCCAACUUUUUUGACAACAGAAACACUUAUUUUAAGACUCAAAAAAUGUUAUCUUAAAAUAAAAAAGUGGGAAAAGUUAGACUGGCAUUCACUGUCAUUAAUUUUGAAACAAAAAUUUUGAUUUAUGGUCUAAAAAUAAAUGCUGUAGUUUUGAUUUUAUGCGGGUUUUAAGAUGGAGUAACUUGUAAUGUAAUUGUAUUGUCAUUUAAUUCAAAUUUGGUUUUAAAAUGAGUCUUUUGGACUCAUUACACUCUUGUUGUCAAAAUUAACAACAGUUUGGCUCAUAUAAACCAAACAAUAUUGCAAACCAUUUGCUUGGAAUUAGCCAAAAAUACUUUUUGCUGGGUUGUGUAACAUUUAUUUUUAAUAAUCAUGUCUGAAUGUUAUUUUUUUUUUCUUAUUUGUGUUUUUUGACA